GUGCUCACUUCGGCAGCACAUAUACUAAAGUUGGAAAGAUUUAGAGAAGAUUAGCAUGGCCUCUGCGCAAGGAUGACAUGCCAAUUCAUGAAUCAUUCCAUUAAAAA